UUCCGGUUGAUCCUGCCGGACCCGACUGCUAUCAGAGUGAGAUUAAGCCAUGCGAGUUAACGUAGCAAUACGUGGCGCACGGCUCAGUAACACGUAGUCAACAUGCCCAGAGGACGUGGAUAACCUCGGGAAACUGAGUCUAAACCGCGAUAAGUGAGGAUUUCUGGAAUGGUUCCUGACUAAAAUCUAUAUGGCCUCUGGAUUGGACUGCGGCCGAUCAGGCUGUUGGUGAGGUAAUGGCCCACCAAACCUGUAACCGGUACGGGCUCUGAGAGGAGGAGCCCGGAGAUGGGCACUGAGACAAGGGCCCAGGCCCUAUGGGGCGCAGCAGGCGCGAAACCUCUGCAAUAGGCGCAAGCCUGACAGGGUUACUCUGAGUGACUUUCGCUAAGAAAGUCUUUUAGCACCUCUAAAAAGGGUGCAGAAUAAGGGGUGGGCAAGUCUGGUGUCAGCCGCCGCGGUAAUACCAGCACCCCGAGUGGUCGGGACGAUUAUUGGGCCUAAAGCAUCCGUAGCCGGUUCUGCAAGUCCCCCGUUAAAUCCAGCUGCUCAACAGAUGGGCCGCGGAGGAUACUACAGAGCUAGGAGGCAGGAGAGGCAAGCGGUACUCAGUGGGUAGGGGUAAAAUCCGUUGAUCCAUUGAAGACCACCAGUGGCGAAGGCGGCUUGCCAGAAUGCGCUCGACGGUGAGGGAUGAAAGCUGGGGGAGCAAACCGGAUUAGAUACCCGGGUAGUCCCAG
rnacentral:rRNA from 1 species